rnacentral:rRNA from 1 species
GACAGAGGGUGCAAACGUUGCUCGGAAUUACUGGGCGUAAAGCGCGUGUAGGUGGACUCGUAAGUCGGAUGUGAAAUCCCAGGGCUCAACCCUGGAACUGCACCCGAAACUGUGAGUCUUGAGUUAUGGAGAGGAAAGUGGAAUUCCUGGUGUAGAGGUGAAAUUCGUAGAUAUCAGGAGGAACAUCGGUGGCGAAGGCGGCUUUCUGGACAUACACUGACACUGAGACGCGAAAGCGUGGGGAGCAAACAGG